CUCAGCGUAGCUGAGUGGUUAAGGAGCAGGGCUCGUAACCAAAAGGUUGCUGGUUCAAGUCCCCACUGGGG